rnacentral:rRNA from 1 species
AUUGAACGCUGGCGGCAGGCUUAACACAUGCAAGUCGAGCGGGGUGAUGGUGCUUGCACUAUCACUUAGCGGCGGACGGGUGAGUAAUGCUUAGGAAUCUGCCUAUUAGUGGGGGACAACAUCCAGAAAGGGAUGCUAAUACAGCAUACGUCCUACGGGAGCAAGAAGGGGGUCACUUGUGCCCUUGCGCUAAUAGAUGAGCCUAGGUCGGAUUAGCUAGUUGGUGGGGUACAGGCCUACCAAGGCGACGAUCUGUAGCGGUUCUGGAAGGAUGAGCCGCCACACUGGGACUGAGACACGGCCCAGACUCCUACGGGAGGCAGCAGUGGGGAAUAUUGGACAAUGGGGGGAACCCUGAUCCAGCCAUGCCGCGUGUGUGAAGAAGGCCUUAAGGUUGUAAAGCACUUUAAGCGAGGAGGAGGCUCUUUUGGUUAAUACCCAAGAUGAGUGGACGUUACUCGCAGAAUAAGCACCGGCUAACUCUGUGCCAGCCGCCGCAGUAA